rnacentral:tRNA from 1 species
UCCCCGGGAGCUCAGUCGGUAGAGCGUCGGACUGUUAAUCCGCAGGUCGUUGGUUCGAGUCCAACCCGGGGAGCCA